CGGAGCCUCAGUUUGCUCAUCUGUGAAAUCAGGAUAACGAUGUGUACCUUGUAAAGGACCAUCGUGAGGUGUAAACGAGGCCUCCUCAGAGAACCGUCUACCAGGGCGAGAUCUAGAAUAACAUCGCCCAUACUUGGUUGCAAGCACUGGGCCGAGCACAGAACCAGUGUCCCAUCCGUGUUUGUUGCAUGACUGACUGACUCCAUCCAAGACGGGAGCCUGUGGGACCGGAUGAUGGUACCUGUAGGCCAUAGCAGGCCGCAGGCCCCCUGAGCGCUCGCUGUUCCUGAGGGCACCUGUAUGCCCAGAGAUUUUGCGGCUUAUUUCAUCAAAUUCUUGCAGUGCUACACAAGCAGGUCCUGUUACUCUGCCCAUUUUACAGAUGGGGAAACUGAGGUUCGGGGAUGUUAAGUCACUUAUGGUCACAUGUUGACCUCGAAGAGGAGCUGAGACCGGAUACGGGUCUGCUGGCCUGAGGAUGCUCUCCAUGGUCCCAGAAGAGGGAGCUGGAAGGCACUGCCAGAGGCUUUCCUUGCUGGUCCGUGCUGCCUUGGGGUGGCCUGAUCUCGGGUCUCUGAUGGUCUGUCUGCAUGUCUGUGUCCCCCCCCGGUACCAAGGACUCUGAGAGAUGGGACUGUGACUCCAGUGUUCAGCACGGGCUGUGGCAUGCAGCAGGUGCUCAGUGGGAGUUUCCUGGGUGAAUGAGUGGUCUUCGGCCUUCUCUGUUGACUGGGGCCCACACUGUUGAGAUGGCACAGACCACUCCACUCGAAGGCGCUGAAUGUCCGGGCACCAAUCCAACCCAACGGCAAGUACACGAGCAGGAUCACUAGCCCCAGCUAAGCUGGCUUCUUAGGGUCAGUACUGUCCUGUAUUUCAGAGUCUCUGUGUCCAGCCCCAGAUCAGCUCUCCCUCCCUCUGCCUCCUGGGACUUUGGAGCUCCUCUCCCCGACUCAUGCCCCGCUCUCGCGCCUGGCCAAGCAGGGACUUGCUGUCAAGGUCACUGAAGCGGCUCUGUGUCAGGGUCUGCGUUUCGCCCAGAACGACAGGAGUCUGGUCCCUGAGCUAGAGCGGCGGUAGCCAAGCCUGAAGGAAGCCGAUGCUGAGCGGACACCUGGCUGGGCACCAGUUCUCCAUGGCUGGCUGUGUCUGUCUCUCCUGGGACAGUGUGGGAUCAUGCACCUGCGGUCCGGCCAAAGCCGCCAUUUGCAUGAAACUGGAGCACGUCCCGAACCCCGAGGCGCCAGGGCUUCUCAAGGAGAGUGGCAGCCACGUGGUCCCACCAGGCAGCGAGACGUGGAAACGUGGCCACGGUGAGCUCUCGCCCCGGGGCACUGAGCCAGUGGCAAGGACGCCAGCCGGUCCAGACCACACUGUCGGAGGGGCUGGCUGGGCCACUCACACGUUGGCCACAUGGGCACAGACCCCUGCCUAGCGGACGGAGAAUCCUCGGCUGGACACCAGUCCCCCUCUGCCUGGGUGGGAGCAAGAACCCUCCAGAACCCCCCUGAGCCCCAGAGAGAGGGAGGACCAGGAUCAGAAUGCUUUGGGUGAGAAUAAACUACUGGGACUGUCUUCCCCUCAGGAUAGUCCAGGAUUUGUAAGGGACCAAGACCCCUGGGCCCCACGCUACUCACAUAUACAUGGUCUCUGGACCAUGUGACUCAUUUCAGAUCAAAGCUAAGCCAGGGAAGAGCAGAAUCACUGAUCACCGCUCUUGUCCUGGACGAUCAGGAAAUGCUGUGGGGGUUUCUUGACUAAGGAACCACCUGACCUAAUGAGUUGGAAAUAAUCCUAUGCAUUAAUUAAAAGAAAUAGAGUUGUUAUUACUACAGGUGCUGAUGAAGUCAACACAGAGUGGGGAGGGGGGUGGCCUAGGGGACCUCCAACCUAGCCAGUGGUGGAGUCCAAGAAGACUGGGAAGAAAAGCUGAGCCUUACGUGGUGGAUAUGAAUGAACCCGC